UACAGGAACUGUCCCACUCACUGUCAUGAUACAAUCUGAAGAUAACGGUACCACCUAGUCAUCCUCAGACUCUCACAUAACCUCAGGGAGAUGACAUCACGCUGACUGGACAGGACCAGCAAGAGGCAGCAGAUAUGCUGGAGACUUUGGUAAGAUACACAAACUCCCAAGGGUGGAAGAUUAACCCUAGGAGAAUUCAGGGACCUGCCACUUCAGUGAAGUUGAGGGUUUCAGUGGACAGGGGGUGUGCUGAGAUACCUUCUCCAAAAUAAAGGACAAAUUGCUGCAUCUUGCAUCUUCUACCACAAUGAGGGAAGCACAGCCUGGGAUAGAGCUCUUUGCAUUCUGGAGGUAACACAUUUCACAUCAAGGAAUAUUGCUCCAGCCCAUAUCCUGGGUAGCUGAGAAGACAGCAAGGGGUGGGACCCAAAGAAAGAGAACAUUCUGCAGCAGAUCCAGACCAAGGUACAAUCAGCCCUCUGUCUUGGUUCAUAUGAUCUGGCAAAUCCUACAGGGUUGGAGAUGUUUGUGGUGGGAAAGGGCGCAGCAUGGAGCUUAUGGCAGGCUUCAGGACAAAGGCAGAAUGAAGACCCAGAAAUUCUGAAGCAAAGCCAUGUAAGCCACAGCAGAGAAUGACACUCCUUUUGUGAAACAGCUCCUGGCUGGCCUAUUACAGACCCUGGUAGAGAUGAAACACUUGAUCAUUGGAGGCCAGGUGACCGUUUGUAUGGAACCGCCCAUUAUGAUCUGUGUUUUGUUUAUUCCUGCAAAUCAUAAAGUCAGACCAAGAGUGGUCCAUUGUCAGAUGCAAGUGGUACAUCUGGAUCAAGUUUGAGCAGCACCAGAGGCAUGAGUGAGUUGCAGGAGCAGGCAGUCGGCCUAGACUCCCAUGCCACCUACCAACCUUGUACCAAUGAUCUUCCCCUAAACAGCACAUAGUUGCAAGUAUGACAUAUGUGUGUGUGUGCACAUGUCUGUGCAUGUGUGUGUUGGGGGGUGUUUCUGUGUGACUAGCAACCAGCUGAAAAGGAAGGAAAAAUCCUGAGUUUGGUUAAAGAUGGAUCAGUUUAAUAUGUGGAUGCAAAGAGAAAAGAGAUCGUGACUAUACUAUGGUCACAUUCAAGGUGACUCUGGGAGACAGUGGAGAGGGAGCAUCUUUCUGAUGGAUGGAGUUGUGAUAAGUGCACCUGACUGCAUUUGUAUGGUGGGAGAAGCAGUCUGGAGUCAGAAUAUAUACAGAUUGUUGGGCAGGGGCCAAUGCCCUGGCCAUCUGGUCAGGUGUGUGGCAAAUCAAAGUCAAGGACGUGUAGGAGUGGCAUAUGGAUGGGCAUCUGGAGUAGGUAUGGAGUAUGAAGACUGCUAUAUGAAAGGCUAGUGCUCAUCAAGAAACAGUCACCACGGAAGAUGCACCGAACAAGCCAGUGGACAGAAGGACCUGGACAGUCAACACUCGCCAUCCUUAUCAUUGGCAUCCCAGAGCCAGCAUGACAGGCCUGUGAGCAGAUGGGCUAUGACGGCAGAGACCUGGGGCUGCUAUUGGCCCAAUGACAUGGGCUUCCACCUACCCAAGGCUGAUCUAGCUCCUGCCACUUCCGAAUGUCCAACUUGUCCAUAAUGGAGACCCAUAUCAAACCCUUGAAAUGGCAUUGUUUCCUUGAGGAGACCAACUGGCCACCUGGUGGUGAAGGCUUAUUCAUUUAAAGUGAACUUGAAGACUGGACUUCAAUCAAAAUAAUGAAGAGAAAGGACCAAAAUGGGGCCAAAUCAACUGGGAUAAUGUGAGCUCUGA